UCUGGGUUGUUUUGUGCCACUGUGAACCCCUACAAGUGGCUCCCAGUGUACGAUGCUGAAGUUGUAAAUGCCUACAGAGGCAAGAAGCGUAUGGAGGCUCCACCCCACAUCUUCUCUGUCUCUGACAAUGCUUUUCAAUUCAUGCUUAUUGAUAGGGAGAACCAGUCUGUCUUGAUCACUGGAGAAUCUGGUGCUGGAAAGACUGUGAACACCAAGCGUGUCAUCCAGUACUUUGCAACAAUCUCAGUUGGUGGAGACAAGAAAAGGGACACCU